rnacentral:rRNA from 1 species
CAGCCGCCGCGGGAAAACGUAGGUGGCAAGCGUUGUCCGGAAUUAUUGGGCGUAGAGGGCUCGCAGGCGGUUUCUUAAGUCUGAUGUGAAAGCCCCCGGCUCAACCGGGGAGGGUCAUUGGAAACUGGGAAACCUGAGUGCAGAAGAGGAGAGUGGAAUUCCACGUGUAGCGGUGAAAUGCGUAGAGAUGUGGAGGAACACCAGUGGCGAAGGCGACUCUCUGGUCUGUAACUGACGCUGAGGAGCGAAAGCGUGGGGAGCGAACAGGAUUAGAUACCCCGGUAGUCCCUGUCUCUUAUAC